UACGCCGUAAACGAUGGUUACUAGCUGUUCGGAAGCAAUUCUGAGUGGCUAAGCGAAAGUGAUAAGUAACCCACCUGGGGAGUACGUUCGCAAGAAUGAAACUCAAAGGAAUUGACGGGGGCCCGCACAAGCGGUGGAGCAUGUGGUUUAAUUCGAUGAUACGCGAGGAACCUUACCAGGGCUUAAAUGUAGAUUGACAGGGGUGGAAACACCUUUUCCUUCGGGCAAUUUACAAG
rnacentral:rRNA from 1 species